rnacentral:rRNA from 1 species
UACGUAGGCAGCAAGCGUUGUUCGGAAUUACUGGGCGUAAAGCGUGUGUAGGCGGCUACGUAAGUCGGAUGUGAAAGCCCCAGGCUCAACCUGGGAAGUGCACUCGAUACUGCGUAGCUUGAGUAUCGGAGAGGUUGGUGGAAUUCUCGGUGUAGAGGUGAAAUUCGUAGAUAUCGAGAGGAACACCGGUGGCGAAGGCGGCCAACUGGACGAAUACUGACGCUGAGACACGAAAGCGUGGGGAGCAAACAGG